rnacentral:rRNA from 1 species
UACGAAGGGGGCUAGCGUUGCUCGGAAUCACUGGGCGUAAAGCGCACGUAGGCGGCUUACUAAGUCAGGGGUGAAAUCCUGGAGCUCAACACCAGAAUUGCCUUUAAGACUGCAUCGCUUGAACGUCGGAGAGGUGAGUGGAAUUCCGAGUGUAGAGGUGAAAUUCGUAGAUAUCGGAAGGAACACCAGUGGCGAAAGCGGCUUCCUGGUCCAGCACCGACGUUCAGGCACGAAAGCGUGGGGAGCAAACAGG